AGAGUUUGAUCAUGGCUCAGAAUGAACGCUGGCGGCGUGCUUAACACAUGCAAGCCGUACGAGAACUCUUUAGCUUGCUAAAGAUAGUAAAGUGGCGUACGGGUGAGUAACGCGUGGGUAAUCUACCUCUUAAUCUGGGAUAACAUUGCGAAAGCGAUGCUAAUACCGGAUAAUAUCUCAAAAUCGCCAGGUUUUGAGAUCAAAAGUGGCCUCUACAUGUAAGCUGCUGUUUGGAGAUGAGCCCGCGUACCAUUAGCUUGUUGGUAGGGUAAUGGCCUACCAAGGCAACGAUGGUUAGCUGGUCUGAGAGGAUGAUCAGCCACACUGGAACUGACACACGGUCCAGACUCCUACGGGAGGCAGCAGUGAGGAAUUUUGCGCAAUGGGGGAAACCCUGACGCAGCAACGCCGCGUGAGUGAUGAAGGCCUUUGGGUCGUAAAGCUCUGUCAAGUGGGAAGAAAAUGUAAAAUGAUAAUACCAUUUUACACUGACGGUACCACUGAAGGAAGCACCGGCUAACUCCGUGCCAGCAGCCGCGGUAAUACGGAGGGUGCAAGCGUUAUUCGGAAUUAUUGGGCGUAAAGGGCGCGUAGGCGGCCUUUUAAGUCAGAUGUGAAAGCCCGGGGCUUAA
rnacentral:rRNA from 1 species